rnacentral:rRNA from 1 species
UACGUAGGAUGCAAGCGUUGUCCGGAUUUACUGGGCGUAAAGCGCGCGCAGGCGGCACUCUAAGUACGCUGUGAAAUAUCCCGGCUCAACCGGGAGGGUGCAGUGUAGACUAGGGAGCUAGAGGUCGGUAGAGGGGGGUGGAAUUGCUGGUGUAGCGGUGAAAUGCGUAGAGAUCAGCAGGAACACCCGUGGCGAAGGCGGCCCCCUGGGCCGUACCUGACGCUGAGGCGCGAAGGCUAGGGGGAGCGAACGGG